GUCGAGAAUUUUGGGCAAUGGACGAAAGUCUGACCCAGCAAUGCCGCGUGCGGGAUGAAGGUCUUCGGAUUGUAAACCGCUGUCAAGAGGGACGAAACAUGACGGUACCUCUGGAGGAAGCCACGGCUAACUACGUGCCAGCAGCCGCGGUAAUACGUAGGUGGCGAGCGUUGUUCGGAUUUAUUGGGCGUAAAGGGUCCGCAGGUGGUUGGAUAAGUUUGACGUGAAAUCCCAGAGCUCAACUCUGGAACUGCGUUGAAAACUGUCUGACUGGAGUAUCGGAGAGGAGAUUGGAAUUCCAGGUGUAGCGGUGGAAUGCGUAGAUAUCUGGAAGAACACCGAAAGCGAAGGCAGAUCUCUGGACGAUAACUGACACUCAGGGACGAAAGUAUGGGGAUCAAACAGGAUUAGAAACCCUAGUAGUCC
rnacentral:rRNA from 1 species